UACGAAGGGGGCUAGCGUUGUUCGGAAUUACUGGGCGUAAAGCGUAUGCAGGCGGAUCGUUAAGUCGGGGGUGAAAUCCCGAGGCUCAACCUCGGAACUGCCUUCGAUACUGGCGAUCUUGAGUCCGGGAGAGGUGAGUGGAACUCCGAGUGUAGAGGUGAAAUUCGUAGAUAUUCGGAAGAACACCAGUGGCGUAGGCGGCUCACUGGCCCGGUACUGACGCUGAGAUACGAAAGCGUGGGGAGCAAACAGG
rnacentral:rRNA from 1 species